rnacentral:lncRNA from 1 species
AAGUUCCAGAGCCAAUCUUUAUAAUUGGGUCCAGUCAAUCGGUUGGUCUCAAAGAUGCGAUCGAGAGGGUUAGAAGUAGACAUUUUCUACAGAAAGAAGAAGAUUUUAGUUAGACUUUGUGUUUGACUUAUUUUAAUUUAUUUUAGAGAUUUUGUUUUAAAACCAAACUCGAAUCUCACUAUUUUCUUGAAUCGCCCACACUCCUAAGGUGGAGAAAUAGAAAUAUCUGCGAUUAAGAUUUCAAGUGGGUCUACAGUCCCA